rnacentral:lncRNA from 1 species
ACAGCCAUUAAUCGAGCAGCCCUUGAAGUACCGGGUCUGUGCUCGGGUGGCCCCCGCGGGGCCGAGCCCCAGGAACCCCGCCCGCAAAGGCGGCGGGAGGAGGGAAGGGAAGGCCGGUGCAGCCCGGGGGAGAGCCCGAGCCCGCAGGAGCCAAGCGGCGGCCUCGGGCAGCGGCGCGGGCCCAGCGCCCCGACUGCGCAUGCGCGGCCCCCUGCCCCGCCGCCUGGCGACCCCGGGUCAGCUCCAGCUCCUGGUCCCCCGGAUUCCCCGGCCCGCGAGGCUGUCGGCCGGGAGCGCCCAGAUGUCCGUGCUCACGGUAAACGAGUAGAACGAAGCAGGUCCCGAGCAGCAGGGCCCAGCCGCUGCGGUUUUCUUGGAGCCCGGCUGCAGCGGCGUGGAGGGCCCGGCCUGCGUCCUGAGCCCCCACGCGGCGCCCCCGCUGCAGGCGGGCCUCCCUCGGCCUCCCGGCGCCCCACCCACUCCUCCCAGGUGGCCCGGGGGCGAGCCAGGCUAAUCCGGACAGCCCGGGCGCAGAGCCGCGGGCACAACCUUGUCCCGCCUUCACGCCGGUUCCUCUGCCUCCUUUGCAUCAUUCGCACCACCUUGAUUUUCCCACAGUCGGCUUUGUCCCUCAGCUGUGUGGCAGGUGUGUGCAGGUCGGUCCCCCUCAGCUAUGUGGCAGGUGUGGGCGGUCCUUUCCUCCUCAGCUAUGUGACAGGUGUGUGCAGGUCUGUCCCCCUCAGCUAUGUGGUAGGUGUGUGCGAGUCUCUCCCCCUCAGCUAUGUGGCAGGUGUGUGCGGGUCGGUCCCCCUCAGCUAUGUGGCAGGUGUGUGCGGGUCGGUCCCCCUCAGCCAUGUGGCAGGUGUGGGCGGGCCUGUCCCCCUCAGCCAUGUGGCAGGUGUGGGCGGGCCUGUCCUCCUCAGCUAUGUGGCAGGUGUGGGCGGGCCUGGCCCCCUCAGCUAUGUGGCAGGUGUGGGCGGGUCUGUCCCCUUCAGCUAUGUGGCAGGUGUGAGCGGGCCUGGCCCCGGGCUCUGGGUUAGCUGGAGGAGGAGCCGCGCCUACGCGGACACUCCGCUCUGCGAUGAAGCGGGGCCGCUGGCCCAGGACGCGCCGCCAGGUCUCACCGCCUCCACUGAUGAAGGAAAGUGAGGCUGUGGUCCAGACAUGAACUUGGUGCAGUCACCAAACCUGCAGAAACACAAGUUCUGUUGCAGCAACAGAAAAAGCGUCGGUGCUACGGCGCUCUGAACCGGCCUACAUGUUCCUUAGUUUGUCUUUCUGCCAAAGCACCUGUGUUCUGAGGAAAGCCUCCCCCGCCAUCCGGAUAAGUAGACAGAAGAAAACUACCAACGUCUCCUGGACAUGUGCGUCCCUGUGUGCCUCAGGUGUGGAGGGCCGGUCGUGCGCGGAAUGUUCCUUUGCCCCAAAUGUCGAGCGUUCCCCAUCAGCGGGGUGUCCCCAACCAGACACAGCAGUGCCGGGCUUUCUGGGCUCUUUCUCCAUCAGUCCACAGGCCGGAGGGUCCCAGGAUUUUGAGUUACGAGGGUCGAGGGUCGGGUUCACGGACCUGCCUGGGCCUGUGCUGAAGGCAUGGGGCUGGGGGCGCAGAGGGGCGCAGAGCCUUCAGGGCCGUGCAUCCUGGCACAGUGCGGUCCAGGGCCGCGGGGCGCUGCCUGCCCGCCAAGUUAGCCCAGGUGCCACAUCGAAGCCCCUUCCCUGGCAACUGCAGAGCUGAUGUCCCGGAUGUAAAGGUGGUGAGCCGCCUCGGGUGGGCAGCUCGGAGCCCCUCAGAGCGGGAGCAUCCUGCCUGGAGGAGGAAGCGCCUGGAUGUCUUGGCCCUUGUUAGAGGCUCUGCUCAUGCUGGGAAGGCGAGGGAAACGAGGCAUCGGGCGCCUGGGGAAAGCGGGUCAGGUAAGACUCAAGGAAGAAGGCGCAGCAGAGAGGCCCCUGCUUCGCAGGAGGCGUCGGCUUUCAGCCUGUGGGUCCUGCUGCCCUCGGAGGUAGGCCUGGGGUGGGCCGGGAGAGGCUGGGCUCGUCUGUUCGAGCCCCUCAGAGCCGGUCAGCCCGACCCCCUCCCCCCUCGUCCCCGAGACCGUCCCGCUCCCCUUGGCAGCCAAGCCACC